UUAACCAAUGAUGGGGUGUUUUAACGGUUACGUUAAAAUUCACGUGACGUUUUUAGGGAGGAAGCGGAAGAACGUGACUCUUAAACACUUCAAAUUUCAGAAUAGCGAAUGCAACUUGAUUGUAAACAGAACUUUGUACCACAAUGCGAACUAACUACGAGUUAACCUUUGAUUUAUUCGGAACUGGGAUACAAAGGGCUACUUCCCGAAUAAGAGUUAGGAUAAGAAGAAAUGAAGAACGAUAGAGGAGAAUGGCAAUUUUAUGAUGAUAAAUAUGCAUUUAAGAAGCUUAAGGAUGAUGAAAAAUGAUGAUGAAGAACGUAAGAAUAAAUAAUACACAGAGCAACAGUAGAAAAUGGCAGAUUUAUGAUGAUGAAUAUGUGUUUAGAAGACGCAUAGAUGAUAAAUAGUGACAUUUUAAGUAGAAAAAAUCGUCUGUGAAUUGUAUAAAACUCUAUACACUUCUAUUCCUUAUUAGAGGAAAGCACAUAGGAGGGAUUAUGUAGAGAGAGACCAGGAGAGAAUGGCAGAUUUAUAAUGAUAAAUACACGUUUAGGAUGACAAAUAAUGAUAUUUUAAGCAUUAAAAUCAUCUUAAAAUUACAUAAAAUACUACACAAACCGUCACUUUAUCACACAUUAAGAUUAUUAUCCGAGGUUCUAAUAUUAAGGAACUUGUAGGAUGAGCACGAAAGCGAAGUUUUUCAAUUAUUUAGACUGAAAAUUAAACCGAAUUUAUAAGUAAAUUUUGCAUUUUAAAACUAAAUUGGGCCCAUAGACAUAUAUUUUAUAUAAAUACACGUAAACGUUUAUAGAUAAAUUUUACAGGGAGUUUUUUUUAUGUGUUUAAAACUGAAGUAGAGAUUUUAAGCUAAGAAUCCUGCCUACAACACAAAGUCUAAAGCUAGAAGUACAAUAUGUAAUUCAUAGAAUAGCUACAAAAGAUUAAAAGGGGAGUGCAGAUUAUCUAGCGCUAUUAUGGGGUGAGUAGGCGAUGGUAAUCGGUGUUGAGGGUGAGUAGAAAGAGGCAGUGGAUAAAGUAAUCACGGGUCUGUCAAGUAGUCUAGGGAGAGGAACACAGUGUUUAGUUAUAAUGGAAGCAAUCGGAUGGAGGGGGAAACGAUGGCCAUUUGUUUGCACUGCUUCGUCUAGCACCCCACCGAGACUAACCGUUGUGAGAAAAUAUCCCUCGCCACCCAAUAUACCACGUGUUGACAUCGGUUUGAUUCAUUUCUUCUAUACUUCCGAGCCUCAUACUUCUUAUACUUUACACUGAUUUUACACAAGUAUCGGCCCUUCUAUCCUUCUACACAACAAUAAUAAGACGUAGAAAAAUACUUAAAAUUAUAGAAAAGUUUAAAAUUUUUAAUAAUUUUACACUUUUAUGUGACUUUUUUUUUCAUUUUAAAUCGAUUUUAGGGCUUGUAUCCAUAGUUAUUUUAAGUCUUAAAAUGGAUAUUUCUAUGAAGAAAAUUGAUGAUGAAUCAAUUAUUUAGAGCUCAAACUCUAUAAACUUGUAAAUAUAUAUAUAUAUAUAUAUAAACACGUUUAUUUUUUGCGUUUAGAAGUACUAAAAAGUUGUAGACGAACAAGUAAAUCGUCUAGAAUUUAACACAGCUUACAAGGAUGCGGAUGAGGAUCCUAGUGAUAACGGAGAGCAGAAGAAUGAUGAUAAUAAUUUAUGCACUAGAAAAGGUGUCGAUGUAAGUUAUUCACCUUUCUGUACAAUUUUACAACUGUUUAGAGCGUAUAAAAAUAUACUUUCUGUAGGUUUGUCAAGUGUCUAGUUGCACCCGUCUCUCAUCUUGACUGUGCUAUUGUAUCGUGCUAAGCCUCGGGACACUAAGAAGACAGUUUGAGACAUUUAAUGAUCCUUAUCAGGUAUCAGGUGAAGCGUAAGAAGAAAUCUGCUACUGGAUUCAAGACCACCGACCGAGAAUGAUGGAUCAUUGGCAGGAAAGAUAUGAUUCCGAAUUACGUUUCGCGAUUUUAGAAGAUAAAAAAGAUAAAAAAACAAUAGAAAUUUCUAUAGAAGGGGUGCAAAACUACGAAAAGAAACACUCUAUAAUUACAUUAUAUACAUAAAUACAGCGUUAAACAUAGGGGAA